rnacentral:rRNA from 1 species
AUACAUGCAGUCGAACGCUUCUUUCCUCCCGAGUGCUUGCAACUCAAUUGGAAAGAGGAGUGGCGGACGGGUGAGUAACACGUGGGUAACCUACCCAUCAGAGGGGGAUAACACUUGGAAACAGGUGCUAAUACCGCAUAACAGUUUAUGCCGCAUGGCAUAAGAGUGAAAGGCGCUUUCGGGUGUCGCUGAUGGAUGGACCCGCGGUGCAUUAGCUAGUUGGUGAGGUAACGGCUCACCAAGGCCACGAUGCAUAGCCGACCUGAGAGGGUGAUCGGCCACACUGGGACUGAGACACGGCCCAGACUCCUACGGGAGGCAGCAGUAGGGAAUCUUCGGCAAUGGACGAAAGUCUGACCGAGCAACGCCGCGUGAGUGAAGAAGGUUUUCGGAUCGUAAAACUCUGUUGUUAGAGAAGAACAAGGACGUUAGUAACUGAACGUCCCCUGACGGUAUCUAACCAGAAAGCCACGGCUAACUACGUGCCAGCAGCCGCGGUAAUACGUAGGUGGCAAGCGUUGUCCGGAUUUAUUGCGCGUAAAG